CCUACGGGUGGCAGAAGUGGGGAAUAUUGGACAAUGGGCGAAAGCCUGAUCCAGCCAUGCCGCGUGUGUGAAGAAGGCCUUCGGGUUGUAAAGCACUUUCAGUGGGGAAGAAAGCCUUGGGGCUAAUACCCUCGAGGAAGGACAUCACCCACAGAAGAAGCACCGGCUAACUCCGUGCCAGCAGCCGCGGUAAUACGGAGGGUGCGAGCGUUAAUCGGAAUUACUGGGCGUAAAGCGCGCGUAGGCGGUCUGAUAAGCCGGUUGUGAAAGCCCCGGGCUCAACCUGGGAACGGCAUCCGGAACUGUCAGGCUAGAGUGCAGGAGAGGAAGGUAGAAUUCCCGGUGUAGCGGUGAAAUGCGUAGAGAUCGGGAGGAAUACCAGUGGCGAAGGCGGCCUUCUGGACUGACACUGACGCUGAGGUGCGAAAGCGUGGGUAGCAAACAGGAUUAGAUACCCCGGUAGUC
rnacentral:rRNA from 1 species